GACGAACGCUGGCGGCGUGCUUAACACAUGCAAGUCGAGCGGUAAGGCCUCUUCGGGGGUACACGAGCGGCGAACGGGUGAGUAACACGUGGGUGACCUGCCCUCAGCUCUGGGAUAAGCCUGGGAAACUGGGUCUAAUACCGGAUAUGACCUUUCCUCGCAUGGGGUUUGGUGGAAAGUUUUUUCGGCUGGGGAUGGGCCCGCGGCCUAUCAGCUUGUUGGUGGGGUGAUGGCCUACCAAGGCGACGACGGGUAGCCGGCCUGAGAGGGCGACCGGCCACACUGGGACUGAGACACGGCCCAGACUCCUACGGGAGGCAGCAGUGGGGAAUAGUGCGCAAUGGGCGGAAGCCUGACGCAGCGACGCCGCGUGGGGGAUGACGGCCUUCGGGUUGGAAACCUCUUUCGACCCCGACGAAUUUGGACGGUAGGGGUAGAAGAAGCACCGGCCAACUACGUG
rnacentral:rRNA from 1 species